GAUGAACGCUGGCGGCGUGCCUAAUACAUGCAAGUCGAGCGAACAGAUGAGGAGCUUGCUCCUCUGACGUUAGCGGCGGACGGGUGAGUAACACGUGGAUAACCUACCUAUAAGACUGGGAUAACUUCGGGAAACCGGAGCUAAUACCGGAUAAUAUAUUGAACCGCAUGUUUCAAUAGUGAAAGACGGUUUUGCUGUCACUUAUAGAUGGAUCCGCGCCGCAUUAGCUAGUUGGUAAGGUAACGGCUUACCAAGGCGACGAUGCGUAGCCGACCUGAGAGGGUGAUCGGCCACACUGGAACUGAGACACGGUCCAGACUCCUACGGGAGGCAGCAGUAGGGAAUCUUCCGCAAUGGGCGAAAGCCUGACGGAGCAACGCCGCGUGAGUGAUGAAGGUCUUCGGAUCGUAAAACUCUGUUAUUAGGGAAGAACAAAUGUGUAAGUAACUAUGCACGUCUUGACGGUACCUAAUCAGAAAGCCACGGCUAACUACGUG
rnacentral:rRNA from 1 species